rnacentral:lncRNA from 1 species
CGAGGCCCCUCGCAAAGUCUCGCCCCAUUCCGAGUCUGGCGGACGAACUUCGCCCGCGCCCCCCACCAAGGCUAUAGCCCACCCGUUUUUUGGCCAUUUUUCCGCUGGGGGGUUUUGGCACUACGACCUUCGGGCCCUUAUUUUUGGAUGCGGCUGUGCCUGCGACUUCCCGCAGGCACCCCGAGGCCCCUCGCAAAGUCUCGCCCCAUUCCGAGUCCGGCGGACGAACUUCGCCCGCGCCCCCCACCAAGGCUAUAGCCCACCCGUUUUUUGGCCAUUUUUCCGCUGGGGGGUUUUGGCACCACGACUUUCGGGCGCUUAUUUCUGGACGCGGCUGUGCCAGUGACUUCCCGCGGGCACCCCGAGGCCCCUCGCAAAGUCUCGCCCCAUUCCGAGUCCGGCGGACGAACUUCGCCCGCGCCCCCCACCAAGGCUAUAGCCCACCCGUUUUUUGGCCAUUUUUCCGCUGGGGGGUUUUGGCACCACGACCUUCAGGCGCUUAUUUUUGGGCUCGGCUGUGGCCGCGACAUCCCGCGGGCACCCCGAGGACCCUCGCAAAGUCUCUCCCCAUUCCGAGUCCGGCGGACGAACUUCGCCCGCGCCCCCCACCAAGGCUAUAGCCCACCCGUUUUUUGGCCAUUUUUCCGCUGGGGGGUUUUGGCACCACGAACUUCGGGCGCUUAUUUCUGGACGCGGCUGUGCCCGCGACUUCCCGCUGGCACCCCGAGGCCCCUCGCAAAGUCUCGCCCCAUUUCGAGUCCGGCGGACGAACUUCGCCCGCGCCCCCCACCAAGGCUAUAGCCCACCCGUUUUUUGGCCAUUUUUCCGCUGGGGGGUUUUGGCACCACGACCUUCGGGCGCUUAUUUUUGGGCGCGGCUUUGCCCGCGGCUUAUUUUUGGCACCCCGAGGCCCCUCGCAAAGUCUCGCCCCAUUCCGAGUCCGGCGGACGAACUUCACCCGCGCCCCCCACCAAGGCUAUAGCCCACCCGUUUUUUGGCCAUUUUUCCGCUGGGGGGUUUUGGCACCACCACCUUCGGGCACCUAUUUUUGGACGCGGCUGUGCCCGCGACUUCCCGCGGGCACCCCGAGGCCCCUCGCAAAGUCUCGCCCCAUUCCGAGUCCGGCGGACGAACUUCGCCCGCGCCCCCCACCAAGGCUAUAGCCCACCCGUUUUUUGGCCAUUUUUCCGCUGGGGGGUUUUGGCACCACGACCUUCAGGCGCUUAUUUUUGGGCUCGGCUGUGGCCGCGACAUCCCGCGGGCACCCCGAGGCCCCUCGCAAAGUCUCUCCCCAUUCCGAGUCCGGCGGACGAACUUCGCCCGCGCCCCCCACCAAGGCUAUAGCCCACCCGUUUUUUGGCCAUUUUUCCGAUGGGGGGUUUUGGCACCACGACCUUCGGGUGCUUAUUUUUGGACGCGGCUGUGCCCGCGACUUCCCGCGGGCACCCCGAGGCCCCUCGCAGAGUCUCGCCCCAUUCCGAGUCUGGCGGACAAACUUCGCCCGCGCCCCCCACCAAGGCUAUAGCCCACCCGUUUUUUGGCCAUUUUUCCGCAGGGGGGUUUUGGCACCACGACCUUCGGGUGCUUAUUUUUGGGCGCGGCUUUGCCCGCGGCUUAUUUUUGGCACCCCGAGGCCCCUCGCAAAGUCUCGCCCCAUUCCGAGUCUGGCGGACGAACUUCGCCCGCGCCCCCCACUAAGGCUAUAGCCCACCCGUUUUUGGGCCAUUUUUCCGCUGGGGGGUUUUGGCACCACGACCUUCGGGCGCUUAUUUUUGGACGCGGCUGUGCCCGUGACUUCCCGCGGGCACCCCGAGGCCCCUCGCAAAGUCUCGCCCCAUUCCGAGUCCGGCGGACGAACUUCGCCCGCGCCCCCCACCAAGGCUAUAGCCCACCCGUUUUUUGGCCAUUUUUCCGCUGGGGGGUUUUGGCACCACGACCUUCAGGCGCUUAUUUUUGGGCUCGGCUGUGGCCGCGACAUCCCGCGGGCACCCCGAGGACCCUCGCAAAGUCUCUCCCCAUUCCGAGUCCGGCGGACGAACUUCGCCCGCGCCCCCCACCAAGGCUAUAGCCCACCCGUUUUUUGGCCAUUUUUCCGCUGGGGGGUUUUGGCACCACGAACUUCGGGCGCUUAUUUCUGGACGCGGCUGUGCCCGCGACUUCCCGCGGGCACCCCGAGGCCCCUCGCAAAGUCUCGCCCCAUUUCGAGUCCGGCGGACGAACUUCGCCCGCGCCCCCCACCAAGGCUAUAGCCCACCCGUUUUUUGGCCAUUUUUCCGCUGGGGGGUUUUGGCACCACGACCUUCGGGCGCUUAUUUUUGGGCGCGGCUUUGCCCGCGGAUUAUUUUUGGCACCCCGAGGCCCCUCGCAAAGUCUCGCCCCAUUCCGAGUCUGGCGGACGAACUUCGCCCGCGCCCCCCACCAUGGCUAUAGCCCACCCGUUUUUUGGCCAUUUUUCCGCUGGGGGGUUUUGGCACCACGACCUUCGGGCACUUAUUUUUGGACGCGGCUGUGCCCGCGACUUCCCGCGGGCACCCCGAGGCCCCUCGCAAAGUCUCGCCCCAUUCCGAGUCCGGCGGACGAACUUCGCCCGCGCCCCCCACCAAGGCUAUAGCCCACCCGUUUUUUGGCCAUUUUUCCGCUGGGGGGUUUUGGCACCACGACCUUCAGGCGCUUAUUUUUGGGCUCGGCUGUGGCCGCGACAUCCCGCGCGCACCCCGAGGCCCCUCGCAAAGUCUCUCCCCAUUCCGAGUCCGGCGGACGAACUUCGCCCGCGCCCCCCACCAAGGCUAUAGCCCACCCAUUUUUUGGCCAUUUUUCCGCAGGGGGGUUUUGGCACCACGACCUUCGGGCGCUUAUUUUUGGGCGCGGCUUUGCCCGCGGCUUAUUUUUGGCGCCCCGAGGCCCCGCGCAAAGUCUCUCCCAUUCCGAGUCCGGCGGACGAACUUCGCCCGCGCCCCCCACCAAGGCUAUAGCCCACCCGUUUUUUGGCCAUUUUUCCGCUGGGGGGUUUUGCACCACGACCU